UUCAGAAAACUUUGAAUGACUGACAACAUUCAUCAGAGUUGAAUGAUACAAUGAUGAAUUUUCCGAGCAAUAUUUCCAAUCAAAAGCCACAAGAGCUACUUGGAGGAUACGCACUACUUCCUUUGUCCAAAAAGUCACGGACAGAAAUGGGAUUACAUUGGAUUGCAUGCAUGAACGUAAGAACAAAUCAUCUAUCCUCUUGGCGUGGCAAUAACGCGCUCGCCUGUUGUGUGUGUGUGUACGGUUGUGAGCCAAUAAUCGAGUGCACGAGUAUGGGUAAUGGUAAUUUCCUAUUUUGAAAAUUGUUUUCAACAAUUCGCUCUCGUCUCACUCAUUUUCUUUGAGCGGACGAAAGAACGAACGAACACAAAGUAAUCAAUUUUCAAUCAUAGUCGAGUUAAAUAUGAAUAGACGAGAAAGAAGUGGAAUCCAAUUAAAUGCACGUAAAGGCAACGGCAACAAAAGUGUUCUGCCAAUACCAACCACAUCGCGUCCCGCCGUUCGUCGUCAAAAACAUCACAACACUGUUGGCAACGACUUUGGCUCGAACAGACAUACGGCAAUCUCAUUAAAAGUGUUCUACUUUCUUGCUGUUGUUGGUGCUACUGUUGCUGCUGCCACUUGGCUGAAAUUAUCCCCGAAAAAAGGCAAUACAAUGUAAAUGAAGGAUAUGUGUAUGCGAAUUGUUACAAUCUGAUGCGUGCGUGCGUGUGUAAAUGUGAGUGCAUGAGAUUGCGAAUGGGGAAGGCUGUUGUUGCUGUUGUUCAUAUUCGUGAUUACUUUUAAAUUAGCUGAUAACUCAUACUUGAAGUGGCAAUUUCGUUAUGUUUUAACAAACUGCUUUUGCAUAUAUUUCGGAAUUACUUAUUCUUCCACUGGAUACAGACGACUACGUGCAAAUUGCUCUCAUAUUACAACCACUUAAAUGUUGUACGUGCCUUAUAUGUGGCAACAACAACAACAACGGCAACAUGCUCUGCGAAACGGCUACAGUGCAUGAAAUAAACGUAGGUUCAUUAUCCAUCCAUAUCCAUAUAUGGGCCAAUAUUAAUUUUUCAAUUUCUGCAUUGAAAAUUGGCCUAAUUGGUUUAGACAUUAAAAGGUUUUUUUUCGAUAUAAAUAAAAUAAUUGCAUUGAAUA